rnacentral:lncRNA from 1 species
ACUUGGUGAGCCCAAAAUGUUUCCGCUACUUCAAGGGAAAAAACUACUGUGCAUUACGACUCUGAAAAUGAGCACAGCCAAGUAUAAUGAAGGUUUAUGCUAUAACCUUUGCAUCGGUUUGCCCAAAUUAUGUGUGAUGUUUUACCUUCUUGCUUUUUUUUCUUACAUGUGUGUGUGCACCACAUGCAUGCAGGAGCCUGUGAAAGCCAGACAAGGACGGGCAUUAGAUCCCCUGGAACUGGAGUGUGAGCCACCAUGUGGGUGCUGGGGACUGAACUCUACAAGAGCACUAAGUGCCCUUAGGGUCCCAUCCAGACCAACCCAC